rnacentral:rRNA from 1 species
AACGAACGCUGGCGGCAGGCCUAACACAUGCAAGUCGAACGGUUGUAGCAAUACAGCCGUGGCGCACGGGUGAGUAACGCGUGGGAAUCUGCCCAGUAGUACGGAAUAACAGUUGGAAACGACUGACAAUACCGUAUACGCCCUUCGGGGGAAAGUUUUUCGCUAUUGGAUGAGCCCGCGUCAGAUUAGCUAGUUGGUGGGGUAAUGGCCUACUAAGGCGACGAUCUGUAGCUGUUCUGAGAGGAAGACCAGCCACACUGGAACUGAGACACAGUCCAGACUCCUAGGGGAGGCAGCAGUGGGGAAUAUUGGACAAUGGGCGAAAGCCUGAUCCAGCCAUGCCGCGUGAGUGAUGAAGGCCUUAGGGUUGUAAAGCUCUUUUGGCGGGGAAGAUAAUGACGGUACCCGCAGAAUAAGUUCCGGCUAACUUCGUGCCAGCCGCCGCAGUAA